rnacentral:rRNA from 1 species
UGGGGAAUAUUGCACAAUGGGCGCAAGCCUGAUGCAGCCAUGCCGCGUGUAUGAAGAAGGCCUUUGGGUUGUAAAGUACUUUAAGUCGGGAGGAAGGUGGUAAGGUUAAUAACCUUAUCAAUUGACGUUACCGACAGAAGAAGCACCGGACAACUCCGUGCCAGAAGCCGCGGUAAUACGGAGGGUGCAAGCGUUAAUCGGAAUUACUGGGCGUAAAGCGCACGCAGGCGGUUGAUUGAGUCAGAUGUGAAAUCCCCGGGCUUAACCCGGGAAUUGCAUCUGAUACUGGUCAGCUAGAGUCUUGUAGAGGGGGGUAGAAUUCCAUGUGUAGCGGUGAAAUGCGUAGAGAUGUGGAGGAAUACCGGUGGCGAAGGCGGCCCCCUGGACAAAGACUGACGCUCAGGUGCGAAAGCGGGGGGGGCAAACAGG